rnacentral:misc_RNA from 1 species
GUUGCAGGAGGCACUUGGCACACAAUUGAACUUCAGUACAGCUUUCCACCCUCAAACAGACGGGCAGUCCGAAAGGACAAUCCAAACAUUGGAAGACAUGCUUCGCAUGAGUGCUUUGGAUUUUGGAGUCAAUGGGAUGAUCAGCUAGCUUUGGUGGAGUUUGGCUACAACAAUAGUUACUAUUCCAGCAUAGGGAUGGCACCCU